rnacentral:rRNA from 1 species
GACGAACGCUGGCGGCGUGCUUAACACAUGCGAGUCGAACGGAAAGGCCCUGCUUUUGUGGGGUGCUCGAGUGGCGAACGGGUGAGUAACACGUGAGUAACCUGCCCUUGACUUUGGGAUAACUUCAGGAAACUGGGGCUAAUACCGGAUAGGAGCUCCUGCUGCAUGGUGGGGGUUGGAAAGUUUCGGCGGUUGGGGAUGGACUCGCGGCUUAUCAGCUUGUUGGUGGGGUAGUGGCUUACCAAGGCUUUGACGGGUAGCCGGCCUGAGAGGGUGACCGGCCACAUUGGGACUGAGAUACGGCCCAGACUCCUACGGGAGGCAGCAGUGGGGAAUAUUGCACAAUGGGCGGAAGCCUGAUGCAGCAACGCCGCGUGCGGGAUGAAGGCCUUCGGGUUGUAAACCGCUUUCGCCUGUGACGAAGCGUGAGUGACGGUAAUGGGUAAAGAAGCACCGGCUAACUACGUG